CAGUAGCCGCGGUAAUACGUAGGGUGCAAGCGUUAAUCGGAAUUACUGGGCGUAAAGCGUGCGCAGGCGGUUUGUUAAGACAGAUGUGAAAUCCCCGGGCUUAACCUGGGAACUGCAUUUGUGACUGGCAAGCUAGAGUCUGGCAGAGGGGGGCGGAAUUCCGCGUGUAGCAGUGAAAUGCGUAGAUAUGCGGAGGAACACCGAUGGCGAAGGCAGCCCCCUGGGCCAACACUGACGCUCAUGCACGAAAGCGUGGGGAGCAAACAGGAUUAGAUACCCCCGUAGUCCAUGUCUCUUAUAC
rnacentral:rRNA from 1 species